GGGAGUGACGGGCGAGCAGUGGGGGUGCUACUCAGGGUGUCAGGGUUGUCCGCAAUCAGUUGGGGUAAAGAGCGUGUAGGCGGCUGGGUAAGGCCGCGGUGAAAUGCCAGGGCUCAACCCUGGAAUGCCGGUGGAAACUGUCAAGCUCGAGUCCGGAAGAGGCGAGUGGAAUUCCUGGUGUAGCGGUGAAAUGCGCAGAUAUCAGGAGGAACACCGAUGGCGAAGGCAGCCCCCUGGGUCAAAACUGACGCUCAUGCACGAAAGCGUGGGGAGCAAACAGGAUUAGAUACCCCUGUAGUC
rnacentral:rRNA from 1 species